rnacentral:rRNA from 1 species
GACGAACGCUGGCGGCGUGCUUAACACAUGCAAGUCGAACGGAAAGGCCCUGCUUUUGUGGGGUGCUCGAGUGGCGAACGGGUGAGUAACACGUGAGUAACCUGCCCUUGACUUUGGGAUAACUUCAGGAAACUGGGGCUAAUACCGGAUAGGAGCUCCUGCUGCAUGGUGGGGGUUGGAAAGUUUCGGCGGUUGGGGAUGGACUCGCGGCUUAUCAGCUUGUUGGUGGGGUAGUGGCUUACCAAGGCUUUGACGGGUAGCCGGCCUGAGAGGGUGACCGGCGUGCGGAAUGAGGAACGACGGCACGGACUCGGAGGGACGGCAGGAGUGGGGAAGAGAGCACGGUGGGGGGAAGCGACAGGAAGGCCCGGUGGGGGAGCGGUGCGGCGCGUCUGGUUGAAAGAGGCGCUGGUGAGUGGAGAAGGGUGAGUGAAGGGAAGGGGAAAAGAGGCACGGACAAACUACGUGCCGGCAGGACAAAAAUAAACGCACAGCACAAAAAUGAAA